rnacentral:rRNA from 1 species
GACGAACGCUGGCGGCGUGCUUAACACAUGCGAGUCGAACGGAAAGGCCUCUUUCGGGGGGUACUCGAGUGGCGAACGGGUGAGUAACACGUGAGUAACCUGCCCUUGACUUUGGGAUAACUUCAGGAAACUGGGGCUAAUACCGGAUAGGAGCUCCUGCUGCAUGGUGGGGGUUGGAAAGUUUCGGCGGUUGGGGAUGGACUCGCGGCUUAUCAGCUUGUUGGUGGGGUAGUGGCUUACCGAGGCUUUGACGGGUAGCCGGCCUGAGAGGGUGACCGGCCACAUUGGGACUGAGAUACGGCCCAGACUCCUACGGGAGGCAGCAGUGGGGAAUAUUGCACAAUGGGUGGAAGCCUGAUGCAGCAACGCCGUGUGCGGGAUGACGGCCUUCGGGUUGUAAACCGCUUUCGCUCAUGACGAAGCUUUGUGUGACGGUAGUGGGUAAAGAAGCACCGGCUAACUACGUG